GGGGUUGUGGCUCAGGCUCAGUGGUAGAGCACUCGUCUAGCACAUGCGAAGCCCUGGGUUCGAUCCUCAGCACCCCA
rnacentral:tRNA from 1 species